rnacentral:rRNA from 1 species
CGUUGAUUACGUCCCUGCCCUUUGUACACACCGCCCGUCGCUACUACCGAUUGAAUGGCUCAGUGAGGCGUCCGGACUGGCCCAGAGAGGUGGGCAACUACCACUCAGGGCCGGAAAGCUCUCCAAACUCGGUCAUUUAGAGGAAGUAAAAGUAGUAACAAG